rnacentral:rRNA from 1 species
AAUGAACGCUGGCGGCGUGCCUAACACAUGCAAGUCGUACGAGAAAGGGGCUUCGGCCCUGAGUAGAGUGGCGCACGGGUGAGUAACGCGUGGGUAAUCUGCCCUUGGAUUUGGAAUAACUCCGCGAAAGUGGAGCUACUACCGGAUAGUCUGGCUUUUUAACGAAGUCGGUAAAGGAUGCCUCUGAAUAUGCAUUCGUCCGAGGAUGAGCCCGCGUCGCAUUAGCUAGUUGGUAGGGUAAUGGCCUACCAAGGCAACGAUGAGUAGCAUGGUCUGAGAGGAUGAUCAGCCACACUGGAACUGAAACACGGUCCAGACUCCUACGGGAGGCAGCAGUGGGGAAUAUUGCGCAAUGGGCGAAAGCCUGACGCAGCAACGCCGCGUGAGGGAUGAAGGCUUUCGGGUCGUAAACCUCUGUCAGAAGGGAAGAACGGGCAUUGGUCUAAUAGGCCUUUGUUUUGACGGUACCUUCAGAGGAAGCACCGGCUAACUCCGUGCCAGCAGCCGCCGUAACAC